AGGAGGAAUUAAAAAUGAAGAGGUGGCUCUGUUAGAGAGAUGAUAGUUUGUUUAGUGCAGAAUGGGCUCAAUAACAUGUAGAAGAGAUUGAUGAAAAUGUACAUGAGAAGUACGCAAAAGUCUGUAGCCGAGCAAGCCCAGGGUUCAAGUUCCUGUUCAAACAGCCUGUAAACCACUGCCAGUAACUCUGGAUAUCAGUGACUCCUUCUCUUAGUCAGCUGCAAAUGGUAACAGCUACCUUCAUUUGUGCAGUCAGGAUAAUGUUAUGAACCACUGCUAGAACUGUGAUUUGGAUGGAAAAUGUGUCCACUGAUGUGAAACUGUCAAGAUUGCUUGAUUAUCAGCAAGUAUCCAGUGAAGACAAUCUGUGCAUCUGAGGAGUAAGGAAGUUAAUAGAUACUUGGUUAGUAGGACUCUGACAACAAGAUUGUGCUAAGUCUCAGAGUAACAAACAUAGGAUAUGUUUUUCUAAUUCAAAUAAUUUAAUAUUAUUAUUACUUGGGAAAGGGCACUUUACUAAUGUUAAAUGCUUUGUUAUUAUUAUAAAUAAAUUAUGUUUGAAAAAAGU